AGUGAACGCUGGCGGUAGGCCUAACACAUGCAAGUCGAACGGCAGCACAGUAAGAGCUUGCUCUUACGGGUGGCGAGUGGCGGACGGGUGAGGAAUACAUCGGAAUCUACUUUUUCGUGGGGGAUAACGUAGGGAAACUUACGCUAAUACCGCAUACGACCUACGGGUGAAAGCAGGGGAACUUCGGACCUUGCGCGAUUGAAUGAGCCGAUGUCGGAUUAGCUAGUUGGCGGGGUAAAGGCCCACCAAGGCGACGAUCCGUAGCUGGUCUGAGAGGAUGAUCAGCCACAUGGGAACUGAGACACGGUCCAGACUCCUACGGGAGGCAGCAGUGGGGAAUAUUGGACAAUGGGCGCAAGCCUGAUCCAGCCAUACCGCGUGGGUGAAGAAGGCCUUCGGGUUGUAAAGCCCUUUUGUUGGGAAAGAAAAGCAGCAGGUUAAUACCCCGCUGUUCUGACGGUACCCAAAGAAUAAGCACCGGCUAACUUCGUG
rnacentral:rRNA from 1 species